UGAGAAGAUUUCUUGUGUGGGGUUUCAUCUGCUUUGCUCACCGCUUGUAGUGCUGAAGGGCAGUAGAUUUGUGCUAUAUUUACCUCAGGCUCGCCUUUUCCAGCCAGUUUAAGGUGUGCUUGUGAGGGAAAAACAUGGUAGUGCUGGGGGGUAGACCACAGCUGGCACCUGCCCAGGGAAUUGCUGGUCCUUAGCUCACUGACCAAAGGCACAACCAGCCUGCACACUGCUUUCUGUGUGGCAUCCUGCUGUGCUUGGGCCUUCCUCUUCAUGCUUCAUGGAUGCUUCAUCACUGCACCGCGUAGUAAGUACCAUGAUGGUCCCUGGGGUCAGAGCUGAUCCUGAGGCACGGCACGCUUCCAUCUUUGUGUAAUUCACUGAGUCACUGCGUGCCUGGGCACUGACUGAGGGAAGAGCAGCACAAACUGAGUUACACGCGCACAGUCAGUGGGUCCGGCAAAGCCAGCACUGAUUCAGAGACAAAAGCAUCCCUCCUGAGUUUUCCACAGCCAUUCGAGCAACGUGACAUGCAGCCAAAGCAAAAAGCAAUCAGAGAGCCUCUUGGAACACUUCCAUAUCUAUUUAUUGUGAGAAUGGGAAAGAAAAACAUGUCUGCUUACAGUUACAAUGGUCAUGGCCCCUCAGGCUUUUCUCAUGAUUCUGCAUUUCAUUGUAAUAACUUUUAAAUGUGCUUCUAGAAGGAAUCUGAACUGUGAUACUCCCUGGGGCCUGUUGGUUUCUCCAUUCAUCAGCAUUUUAUUCUUGACAUUAUAAUGGUAAAAUUACCUUUCAAGCUGGUCUUAAAAAAAUACUCACAGAAAAUAUAGACCUAGAUAGAAAAAUAAGGUUUUUGCAAGCACACACAGAUGGAUGUGUGCUGGUAUGAGGCAACGUAAAUUUGGAGCUCGGCUAACAAAUACUUUGAGAUUUUUCUUUCAUUGAUGAAUCAGUAAAAGAAACCAGACCCCUCUUUGCGCUGACAUUUUAUUCAUCGGAAGUGGCCUGUGAGUAAAAGGCUUACAAUUCUCCUAAAUGCCAGUGGCUCAGUUGCAGGCUGAUGUCAGCUGUUAGACACUUAGCCAGCACUAGGAUUUCACACCAUAGCGCCAAAUUUGCAGACACAGAAGAGCUUUGCUGAGACUGCUGAUUUUGCCUCGAAGGCCUGUCCUAUACGAUAUUAAUGUGGCUGGAUGGUUCUACAUCCUGAAGAGGGCACUGCUUCAGCGUAUUUUUUUUAUAACCGCACAGAAGCCAUACAAGAUGGAGCUAAUGCUCCUGUAUACUGUUAUGUAUCUCCUAAAACAAGCUGUAGAUUUUCAGGAAUAAAUCUGAAAGUACUUUUGACAGUGUGAAAUUAUACUGUGUAGCGAGGAGCCUUUUGAUUAACACACACCAAAGAAUGACAACUUAUUAGAGUGAAGGAGUUAAAAUGUCUUUUAUUUUAAUUUAAUAGACCCCUAACAUGAUAUUUGUCAAUAAACCAGCUGAGUGCUGACUGACAUAUGGGACAGGCGACACAAAAGGCAUGCUCACUGCUCCUCUGUGUGCACCACUGCCCAUGCUUGCACAGAAAUGCUGCCGUCACGGUACCAAGACCCCUCAGUGGGAUAAUCUGACAGACAAGCUACUCAGGCUUCCUCUUGAAAAAAACCUGUGCUGUGCCAGAGCACCAGGAAGGAUUGCAGUCCUUCUCACGUUAUCCCGCAGAGUCCUGUGGCUGCUCAGAUUUCCCUGGCUGAAGGCUUCUCUGGAAAACCUUUCCAGAUGCCUGGGCAGUGUUCUGCUGAGUAAGGUGCCUGUGCUCCCUCUCUCAAAUCCUGCAGAUGGUGCUGUCUCUACAGGAUGGUACUUUCUGAACGUGCAGCAAAAAUGGGUGGCUAAAAGGUAUUACUUGUGUGGGUGUUGCAGUUCUCUGUCAAAGGAAGGUCUUUGUUAGGUAAGAUAAUUAUUAUUUUUUCCGAACUCUGUAAAGAUGGAAAGCUUUUAGUAUCAAAAAACUACAAGAAAAAAUAAUUGAUUUGAAAUGUUGCCUUUCUGCCUCCAGUGAAAAGCCUUUCCAUUGUACCUAUAGCUUUGGGGAUCAUUUUGACAUAGCAUUCAAGCAGUAUCCCCGAAGUGAUCCUUAUGAGGGUUGUCUGCUAAAGUUCUCUGUUGCAGAGGAGACGGGAAACUCAUACCUUGGCUAUUUGCAGGUAUAACAAACCCUGUGGGAUGUUUUAUGAUAGGGAAUCCCUUUCCAUGCAAGUCGAUCAGAAUUUGCCAGGUCAAAUUCCUCCCCCAUUUCCAAUGGGAAUGAACUCUUCACUUCCUGUGCCAAACUGCAGAGUAUAUCUGGACUUUGUCCUCUGCACUAAUCUGUUGUAAUCUUUCAGUGGUAUGGCCAGUUGCAAUCUGCCUUUUCAGUUACUGUUUUUCAGCUGUUCUUUUGUUACCCACUGUAGCUACUACUUGUAUUUUAAUGUUCUUGCCCAUAUUUUAAUGCACUUGACCUAUCUGAUGAGAGGUGUUGGACAGCCUCACUACAAAGGAAAGAAGCUUACUCUAUGCUUUGGUGUCCAGGUCACAAAACCCACAGAAGCGACAACCAUUUUUGUUCCACUUCCUUACAUUUCAUGAGAACUUGAACUCAAACUUCUCCCAGGGAAGUUGCAGAAGUACAGAACCAUCAAGAGCUUAUGAGGAGUAGAAAUACCUGUAGUGCACUAAGCUACACUUCUUACACUUCCAAAAUAUCUUCUCUCUGUUAAGGCCUAAAUUUGCCCACGUGUCACAUUUACCCUGGAUGCCAUUGCAUGCACAGGGCAAUGAUGCAGAUCAGCAGUCUCUGCCAAUUUCUUUUAUUUAUUUAUUUUUUUUUUAGAGGAGUUACCUGCUGCAUGAGUCUGCUGCCUCUGGCAGGCUAAGAUGGGAGAGGCUCCUGGAGUUCACUUUCAUGCAACAUGGACAAGCAAAGAGGCUCCCUGGCUACUCUCAAGGUAUGGAGUAGCAGGCUGUCCAGUUGGAUGGGGCGAUGCCCUUUGAUGCCCAGCCAUGCCCAGCGGAGCCACUUGGCAAACAGCAGAAUUGGGGAGCACACCUGAGCUGCAAGAGCCUCCAGAGAGAAUGUGGGAGUCCUGGUGGUGUCACAAGCACUGGAAGAAACUGUCGCUUGCCCCAUUGACAGUGAUCCCUGACCAGAUGUCACUGCGAGGUGUGCUUUCUGCAGGGAGGAUUCUGCAUCUGGACAUAAACCAUCACAGGAGGCUUCAGAACCGUGGGUUCAUAUUCACAAGUCUCUGCUGAACGCAUCAUGUCACAAGUCAAGCUGAAUGCCAAAGGAGACACUCCAGAUGGACUCAGUCUGGCACUCCUGACUUGAAACAAAAAGCUGAGGUCAAAUCUUAACACUGCUGAAUUCAAGGUGCAUCUUGUUUUUCUUCACUUCAGUGGGGCCAGUAUUUCUCCUUUUAUUUUGCCUGUGUAAGAAUUAUAUUAUGGUAUGAAGUAAGGCUUACUUGCUUUGUUUUAUUUUGAGUACACAAAUGUUGUUGUGCUAGUUCUCCAAAAGAGCACAGAAAUGACAAACGCACCAGUAAUUUUAUGUAACCAAGAGAAUGAGUCAGUGGGGGAAAAAAAGGGCAAAAAAAAUAGAGAUUUUAAUGAGUAGUAGACUUAAAAACCAAUCACAACCCAAACAACAAAAUUAUCAUUACAAAAAUGUUACUUUAAGCCCCAUGUUCGUUUUUUUCAAAAUUAAAGGGGGCAAAAACCUUCUUAUUUUACCAUAUUGCUGAGCUGAGAGAACCUCUUGAAAGCAUUACUGAAUGCUCUUCUCUUACCCUAGUCUUUCAUUUGCCUUUCAUGUUCUGCUAGUCUGUUACUGUGAGGUUCCUUGAACCACUACCAAUUAUUGCUUUUUUUUUCUUUUCCUUUUUUUUUUUUUUUUCUUUUUACAAAGAACAGGCUCUGGUUAGGAUAGCUACUGACUGACUGCUGUGAUGUGGGCUUUCACAAGUGACAAAGAAAAUGUGGGUCCAGCUUGACCUAUACUCCAGAAUUAACCAAUUGCAAUCUUGUCCCCGGUUUAGACUGUUCCUAUUUGAUUGAAUUGUCUACAAUUACUUAUGAUGUAUUUCUUUGCAGAAGAGUAUGAAUACUAUUUUUUAAAUUUACACUUAAUUAUAAGUGUUUGUAAUUAUGAGUGUAAAGAGGUAAUAAUAGAUGUCCCUGAGUGAAGUUGUGACGUAGUGUUUGGAAAUAUUUGGUGCCAAUACCGGGUGGUGGAUGGCCAUGUCCCACAGCCCCCUUUCGUGCCUUCACCCUGUGCCGCCCCAUUCCCUUCACUGUGCUGGCACAACCCGGAUAGGGUUGUACUCCCAAGCAGAUGGGGGAACUGAUCCAGAAAAAAAAAAAAAAAGAAAUCCAGCAAUUCCCCGCCUCCAGUGUUUCUAGCCAAAUCAAUUUCCCAGUCCAGUUUAUAGCACAGCUGUAGAAACAGUUGUGUUGCUGUGUGGAACACAAGGGCGGUAUAUCACAAUGAGAGAGACAAACGGUGGAGGGUAGGACUGGCAGUACUUUAAGUCAGAACCACCAGCCUCCGAGCCCCAUUGUGUGAGUGUUCUGUUUUUUCUUCAUUGGUACAUUGAACACCUUGUAAUCAAAAUUUAGAGCUGACAGGUCUAUAAAGAAAACAAUGCAAACACAAGGUCUAUAAAGAAAACAAUGCAAACACAAGGUAACAGUGAGCUCAUACUGGUCAGCAUAUUAAAGGCGAUGGCAGGAAACCACCAGAUUAAUCAUUGCUGAGCUUUUCCUGUUAGCAUCAGUGCAGGGAUGAGUUUUAAGUAGGACACAGUUGAGGUCAUUGUAGUGUCUCUGCUGACUUCUGUGCGGAAUGACUCCUAUGCAUGCCUUAUUAGUUCUAGAAAGCUUUGCUCAUUCAUUGCCUCAUGGUGAAUCUCUGGUUAGAAAAUUAACCACAGCACUCCUAGAAAAGGUAUUUUUUUCACAGUUUGUUUCUUUACAUUGUCACCUCUCUCUCUGCAUCUCUCAAAUGGCUCCUCUCUAUCAGUCAAAAACUUCUUUCAUUUCCAAUCCCUUUGUAGUUUCUCUACAACCUUUCUCUCUCUUUCAAUACAGACAGGUUAAGUCCCUGGAAGUGUUGCAGCACCAUUCUCCACUUGUUGGAUUUCAGUGGCUUGCUUUCUUGUACCUGUCACCUCAUAUUUGGGUGGCAUUUCCAUUAACAGCCUUAUCACCUUGUCUCAUCUUCGCCAGCCCUCUUUAAAAGUCAUCUCUGUUUGGGUGCCUAAAGAGAAGGUGACAACAGAUAGGAUCUGAUGCUACUCCUGCUGGCCAGCAUCUCUCUGUUCCCAUGUGUUUCCUUUUCUGGACCUUCUAGAAAUACGCCCAAAUAUACAUAUUUAUACACAUAUGGAAUUUGUACUCUGUUAGCCCUAGGGGUAACAGCUCUACUGUGGCAAUUGCUGUGCAAGUCCAAGCUGACUGCAAAGGCAGCGUAUUCGCUGGACUCUAUCUGUCUCCUUAAAGCUAAGAUGUGUUUGCUGAGUUUUUGUUGCUAAGAAGUGCUGUUAACUUAGCUACUGCACUGAGCUCUCCCUAAACCUCACAGGUUUUGUGUAUUUGCAUCUUCUACCUCCUUACCAGAUGUAAAUGAUAUCUAGAACAAGGCUACAGCAGUGCAAAGCUGUCACUAUGACAUACUGCAUCACUGUAAACAAGGAUAAAUGUCCCUCACAGUUUAUAAAGAAGGAAAAUAACAAUUGGAAAGGAAAUAAUAUUGUGUUAUGACCCGACUUCUGCUAUAUAUAGAUCCAGCAAUUGCCAUCCUGGACCAGGUUGUCAGUUGGUUUACUGUAUUAGUCAGUCUCAGGGACAGAAUAAUAGUAUUAGUUUCCAGUAAAGACACAGAAUAUGUAUUAUAUAAUCUUAUGGAAUAACCUGCCUGUAAGAAAUUCCUUCCAACUCUUCCUUACUUCAGUGAUUAGUGUCUGCCUUAAAACAUGAGUGUUUAUAUCUUUCCUGUAAAAACGGUCUGUAUGUAAUUAUGAGAAUUAUCACUUACACAAAAGUCUAACGCAGAACUUCUCAAAUAGCAGACCUCACUAGAUCCACAUCAUGAAUAAUUUUGACUACAGUGUGUCAAAGUCCUAUACUUAAAAAUUCUCCUGCAUUAUUUUGGAAAAUCCUAUAUUUUUCACCAUUUUCAUGGAGUUUGGGGUUGGUGGUGGGGAGCAGUACUCUGGCUGCAGUUCUCAGCUGUGCAGGCAGCAUGCAGAGCUUGGCUAGCCUGGCAGAGCUGGGGCUGGCGUCUUGCUUUUUGCUGAACCAAGUGGGGCACUAUUCUAUAAAUACUGAUUAGCCUUAGUCAAACCUUUUCCUAGCAACUCUUACUCUUCCUGCAGUCUACAUAACUACAUUUUUUUAUCUUUAUUGUUUUGGUUUGCUCACAACUGGUAUGUAGUUGUAUCAUGCUGUAUUUCUAGUGAAUCUCAAAAAAAGAAUGUUGUCACAGAGGUGAAGUUAAGGAAAUAGCCAGGAGUCACGUUGACGACAUGCAGCCUGCAUAAUUACUUGUCAUUAAAGACAUUCUAGGCAGGUAUAGUACAACAUAUCCCACAGUACUGUGCUGUCUUCAGGGCUGGCAGCAUAUUGCCAAUUGCCUAACAUUAGUAUUCCAGCGUAAAGACCAAAACUUCACUGUGAAUACCAUUAGAACUGGGUCACUAACAGAAGGUGCGUGACAGCUUAACAUGCAGAACAGCUAAAGCCAUUUCCUCCAUCUCACACAGAGCAGAAAUACUGAGAGUGAAGAUUAUGGAUAUUGCGUGAGGAAAAUGACAAAUGACAAGCCAUAGCAAUAUACUCGUUUGGUGGCAUUAGUGGUGCAGUUCUGCCUUGGGAACAGUGAAAUUAGGUGAUCAGCUGGCUGUUGUGCUGCACUGGUUUUGCUAAACACUGGAAUUCACUUUAAUAGGAAUCGAAAUGAUCGGGUGAAGUAUUUCAUUUUGCAGAGGAAAUUCUCUUGCUCAGCAGCACCCUAAUAACACUACUAUUUUGCAUUUUCUAUUCUGUUUGGAAUAAAGAGGUUUUAACCUUGCAGCUUCAAA